rnacentral:rRNA from 1 species
GAAGAUGAACUUCCGUCGAGGACGACUUCAUUUCAAGAAGGGGAGGAUGAUGAGGACAUCAAUACAAUUGUUACACCCACAGCCCCUGCUGCUAUACAUACUGGACCAAUUACUAGAGCUCGUGCACGCCAACUAAAUUACCAGGUACUUUCGUUUCUUGGUAAUGAUUCUAAUGUUCAUGAGAUUAUGAUGCUGCCUAAAUUGGAUACAUUUGUUUUGCUUACAAAUAAAGGGCCUAGCUUGGAGAAGGAUGAACAUUGGAGCAAGAACAAGCAUGGAGAUGAUGGCAUGCGCAAGGGGAACAAGAACGGAGUUACAAGUCAUGAUUUCAGGACUUUGAAGCCACCAUAA